rnacentral:rRNA from 1 species
GACGAACGCUGGCGGCGUGCUUAACACAUGCAAGUCGAACGAUAAGAGCCUGCUUGGGUGUGUUUAUAGUGGCGCAAACGUGAGUAUAACGUGGGAAACACGUGCCCCUCAUUGGGGUAGAACUGGAAAAAAGUGGAUAUAAUACCAUAUUGGAGGUCCUCCUGCUGGAAGAGGGGUGGAAACUUCGGCGGUGGGGGAUGGGCCCGCGGCCUGUUAGCUUGUUGGUGGGGUAAUGGCCUACCAAGGCUAUGACGGGUAGCUGGGCUGAGAGGGUGACCGGCCAGAUUGGGACUGAGAUACGGCCCAGACUCCUACGGGAGGCAGCAGUGGGGAAUCUUGCACAAUGGGCGGAAGCCUGAUGCAGCAACGCCGCGUGCGGGAUGAAGGCCUUCGGGUUGUAAACCGCUUUCACCUGUGACGAAGCGUGAGUGACGGUACUGGGUAAAGAAGCCCCGGCUAACUACGUG